rnacentral:lncRNA from 10 species
GUUCCGGGCGCUUUGCCGGGCGUUAAUGGCGGCCAACAUCGCCGGUGCUGCGGCUUUCUCCCUAAAGUGUCACAGGAGCUAAGGGCGCUGCUUAACGAACUGCAGAAGACGCAGGCAGGGUCUUGCUCUGUCGCCCAGGCUACAGUGCAGUGACAUGAUCAUGGCCCACUGCAGCCUCGACCUCCCAGGCUCAAUCAAUCCUCCCAUCUCAGCCUCCCAAGUAGCUGGGAUUACAGGCACACACCACCAC